GUCAUUUUGAGGUGCAGUUCCUAGAUUUAUUACUUUCUUCUCUCUCUAUCUGCUCAUCGAGAGACCACCUACGUGACACAGGGGACCAUCAACACUGUGCUUCAAAGUCAUCCUCGUCAUCUUGGAUCGGAAUAGAUAUUGGGGACUUUUUUGAGCAUAAUGACAGGGGAAAAACUUAUGCGGGGAGCAAGAGCCAAGGUAAUCGGCGCUCUCAAAAGAGGAUGAUGAUUAAAUCGGCAAGAAAUUAGAGUGAGAACAGCGGGCUUCGCGGUGAUUGAAUGGAGAUUAGGUGCAGAGGAGAAUUUUCUUCUCUUUUUAUGGUGUGUACUGAGAGAAAUUUUGUUUGAGUGGAGAAGAAGAAAGAGAACGCGAUGGGAUUACUCCAGCGAAAAUACCUCACCGUUUUUAAGCUCCGACGACCGCCUGCUGCUUGGUUAGUGGUGGAGCAAUAGGGUCAAUUCAACAGCGUGAGUUGUGCACAAUUUUGGAGAGGAAAUGAAGUUAGGUUUUUUUGGGCUUGCUGCCUCUCACCUCAACGGGGCUAGUGUGUGGAAUUUGUAAAAACUGACCGGGAUAUAUUUGUCCAACAACUUGCAGCAUUGGGGUCAAAUGAAUCCUCUCUCCAAUUCUGCAAAUCAUUUCGGGUUUACCAAACAAACACAAAUAAAUACAUUCCAAAAUUAUUUCCUUCCAAAUCAAUUAGUCAUAACCGAACACGCCGUUAUCAUUAUUAUGAGUAUCAGUUUGUAGAUUAUUUCGUA